AGUGAACGCUGGCGGCAGGCCUAACACAUGCAAGUCGAACGGCAACACCGUAAGAGCUUGCUCUUACGGGUGGCGAGUGGCGGAAGGGUGCGGAAUACAUCGGAAUCUACUUUUUCGUGGGGGAUAACGUAGGGAAACUUACGCUAAUACCGCAUACGAACUGCGGGUGAAAGCAGGGGAUUUUCGGACCUUGCGCGAUUGAAUGAGCCGAUGUAGGAUUAGCUAGUUGGCGGGGUAAAGGCCCACCAAGGCGACGAUCCGUAGCUGGUCUGAGAGGAUGAUCAGCCACACUGGAACUGAGACACGGUCCAGACUCCUACGGGAGGCAGCAGUGGGGAAUAUUGGACAAUGGGCGCAAGCCUGAUCCAGCCAUACCGCGUGGGUGAAGAAGGCCUUCGGGUUGUAAAGUCCUUUUGUUGGGAAAGAAAAGCAGCAGGUUAAUACCCCGCUGUUCUGACGGUACCCAAAGAAUAAGCACCGGCUAACUUCGUG
rnacentral:rRNA from 1 species